rnacentral:rRNA from 1 species
GGGAGCUUGCUCCCUGAUGUUAGCGGCGGACGGGUGAGUAACACGUGGGUAACCUGCCUGUAAGACUGGGAUAACUCCGGGAAACCGGGGCUAAUACCGGAUGGUUGUUUGAACCGCAUGGUUCAAACAUAAAAGGUGGCUUCGGCUACCACUUACAGAUGGACCCGCGGCGCAUUAGCUAGUUGGUGAGGUAACGGCUCACCAAGGCGACGAUGCGUACCCGACCUGAGAGGGUGAUCGGCCACACUGGGACUGAGACACGGCCCAGACUCCUACGGGAGGCAGCAGUAGGGAAUCUUCCGCAAUGGACGAAAGUCUGACGGAGCAACGCCGCGUGAGUGAUGAAGGUUUUCGGAUCGUAAAGCUCUGUUGUUAGGGAAGAACAAGUGCCGUUCAAAUAGGGCGGCACCUUGACGGUACCUAACCAGAAAGCCACGGCUAACUACGUGCCAGCAGCCGCGGUAAUACGUAGGUGGCAAGCGUUGUCCGGAAUUAUUGGGCGUAAAGGGCUCGCAGGCGGUUUCUUAAGUCUGAUGUGAAAGCCCCCGGCUCAACCGGGG